GAUGAACGCUGGCGGCGUGCCUAAUACAUGCAAGUCGAGCGAACAGACGAGGAGCUUGCUCCUUUGACGUUAGCGGCGGACGGGUGAGUAACACGUGGAUAACCUACCUAUAAGACUGGGAUAACUUCGGGAACCCGGAGCUAAUACCGGAUAAUAUAUUGAACCGCAUGGUUCAAUAGUGAAAGACGGUUUUGCUGUCACUUAUAGAUGGAUCCGCGCCGCAUUAGCUAGUUGGUAAGGUAACGGCUUACCAAGGCAACGAUGCGUAGCCGACCUGAGAGGGUGAUCGGCCACACUGGAACUGAGACACGGUCCAGACUCCUACGGCAGGCAGCAGUAGGGAAUCUUCCGCAAUGGGCGAAAGCCUGACGGAGCAACGCCGCGUGAGUGAUGAAGGUCUUCGGAUCGUAAAACUCUGUUAUUAGGGAAGAACAAAUGUGUAAGUAACUAUGCACGUCUUGACGGUACCUAAUCAGAAAGCCACGGCUAACUACGUG
rnacentral:rRNA from 1 species